rnacentral:rRNA from 1 species
GGCGGACGGGUGAGUAACGCGUGGGAAUCUGCCUACUAGCGGGGGAUAGCCCGGAGAAAUCCGGAUUAAUACCGCAUACGCCCUACGGGGGAAAGCUGGGGAUCUUCGGACCUGGCACUAGUAGAUGAGCCCGCGUUGGAUUAGCUUGUUGGUGGGGUAACGGCCUACCAAGGCAACGAUCCAUAGCUGUUCUGAGAGGAAGAUCAGCCACACUGGGACUGAGACACGGCCCAG